GACGAACGCUGGCGGCGUGCUUAACACAUGCAAGUCGAACGGAAAGGCCCUGCUUUUGUGGGGUGCUCGAGUGGCGAACGGGUGAGUAACACGUGAGUAACCUGCCCUUGACUUUGGGAUAACUUCAGGAAACUGGGGCUAAUACCGGAUAGGAGCUCCUGCUGCAUGGUGGGGGUUGGAAAGUUUCGGCGGUCGGGGAUGGACUCGCGGCUUAUCAGCUUGUUGGUGGGGUAGUGGCUUACCAAGGCUUUGACGGGUAGCCGGCCUGAGAGGGUGACCGGCCACAUUGGGACUGCGAUACGGCCCAGACUCCUACGGGAGGCAGCAGUGGGGAAUAUUGCACAAUGGGCGGAAGCCUGAUGCAGCAACGCCGCGUGCGGGAUGACGGCCUUCGGGUUGUAAACCGCUUUCGCCUGUGACGAAGCGUGAGUGACGGUAAUGGGUAAAGAAGCACCGGCUAACUACGUG
rnacentral:rRNA from 1 species